CAAAGCUUUUGAUUGAAGGUUACAAUUAUAAUUAUGUGGAAGAAACGUAAUUUAGGGAAAGUAACAUAUUGGGUCAGCAAGAACCAUUUUGCCGGAGAGACCUUUAGGUAAAUCAAAGUCAAAACCACCAAAUCAAUUGCAUAAAGAACCCUAAACCCGGUAAUCAAAUUCAGAUGUGGAAUUCUGAACCCUAUGAACUGGAAACUUAUGAACCCAGAAUGUCAAAGAAGUUUUGGAGGCUGCGAAGGGAAUUGUCUGUGCUAAAUUAAAGCAAUUUAGGAAGAAACCAUAGAGAGAGCUAAAAACGACCCACAAGAAUUAUAUUUCUGCAAAAGUUGUUUUUGCCUGCAAUCUUCUUAAACUGUUUGAAUAGGCUAAAUCUUAUGAGGAAACUUAAGUGUCCUUGCAGGCUAUAUUAAAAUGAAAUGAAAUAUGUAAUUUUAUCUCAGAAAAAUAAAACCCACUAAUUAAAUAACGCACAAGUUCUUAUAAGCACACAAUUUCAUUAAUGAAAUCACUUGUAUUGAACAUAACAUUCUUAUUUACAUGAUGGGUUAAAUAGCAUGCUCUACAACUACUUUAUUUGGACCUAAGCCUUGUCUUCACCUGCUAUUAAUAUAUUGAUUGGUUUGAGGCCUUUAUUCGAGUUGCCUUCCUUGGCCCAUGGAGGUCUCCUUAGCUCUUGAUACGGUAAGUUUUUGUAGUGCCUCAUUUAGUGACAUGGAUUUAGAUGUUGUGAUUCUUAACUGGCCUAAUUGGAAAGACUCUAUUUGCGCUUGUCACUUUCUCUCUGCCAUUAGUACCCUAUAAGAUGAGAGAUACCAGGAGAAACACUUCUAGAUCUGGUAAAUGUAGUCAUUGAGCGAUAGACAAUCUUAUUCAUUGAGACUUCACGAGGCUGUAUACCCAGCAUUCAAACUUCAACAAUGUCAUCAUAAUUAUUAAAAUAAUGUUUCUUAUGCAUAAUUCUUUCAUACACAAGGGAAAAAAUAAAAUAAAAU